rnacentral:lncRNA from 1 species
CACACCCCUGUGUGAAUCAUCUGAUGAGGGAAAAGUCAGACCCCAAUUAGAUAAAUGGGAAGUUGGGGCACAGCAGCAUGUGGUCUCGCUGACUUGCCAAAACAAGGUCCAAAAGGGGCUUUGGACCCAAGAUUGGAUCAUAAGAAGAUAGUCCAAGACUGUAAAACCCAAAGAGGGAAGGAUGUACUGAGCCUUUCAGAGGCUUCCAGGACUGCAAACCGGCUGUCACCAUAGCUGUGGUUGUGACCACUCUUAAAUAAAUUACUUUUGUGUGUGCCCACCUCCCCUCCCCUCCUCUGUCCGGUGGCCUCACUGCAGGGUGGCAGAGCUCCUGUGGCUGAGGAUUGUGUGAGUUGGCUUGUGCUACAAGAGAUUGCGGGAGCCACUGGGUACGGUGAUGGGAGACUUGGGAGAGACACAAAGAUCUGGCCCCCCCUUUAAGAGGUUUUCACAUUAAAAAAGAAAAGAAAAGUGCUGUAUCGUGUUCAUCUCUAUGACUUUAUAUGAUAUUUAUCAGUAAAUCCAAUCCUGGAGUUUACUUUUUUGUAAAUCAAAAAUCAUCACUUGGGAUGUGACCGUCAAUAAAAUCAAAUUGCCAGCCCAAGCUUAUUACAGAACAGGAAGGAAAUUUAACGGUAGGAAUACUUUGUGUGACCACAGGAUCAGCAAGCUUAGGACUGUAGAUCACUGUUCAACCUGGAGUGGGAAAGAUCAAGUAGCCCAUCUGAAUCCAUCAUGAACCCAUGAGGCGUCUCCCCCUCAGAGUGAGGCCCCUCCCUUAUUCUCAGACCAUGUGGUUUGGGUGGGCCUGACCUAAACCCCUCAUUCAAGGAAAGCAUGGAACCCAGGACUGGCCAAUGAGACUAAAAUAGGGAACUUUAGCUUGGACCAGUGACAAAGACAAGACUUCUCUUUCUACUGGACUUGAAUCUAGACACGCUUGGGGGCUGUCAUGCAGAGAAAAUCUGUCAAUGAGAGUGCCCAACAGAAGAAGGUGAUAUCAAAAGACAAAGAAAAACAAAGCACUAUUGACAUCAUUUGAGCUUCUGGAAUUUUCCAUUGGGUUAAUUAAUGACCCUCCCUCUCCACACAUAUAUGCAUUUGUUUGUUUUCUGCUUUGUUUUGUGUUUUGCUUAAAUCAGUUUAAAUUGAGUCUCUGUCACUUGCAAGAAAAGUCCCACUGGACAAACAACUUAGAAUUUUUUUUUUCUUCAAAAAUCACCAUGGACCCCUUCAACAGUGGGGCUGCUAUUUGAACACACCUGUUUGUGCCUUGACCUCACUCUUUUUUAUGUACAGACAAGGCAAAUCCUUUCCUGUCACUAAACACACCAACUCUCCACGCCACUGGCUUGCCCUUAAUGAUGCCGCCUGCCUCUCUCUAUACCAAUUUGUACCCUGUCCCUCCCACAGCACAGGACCUGCUCCACCCACCGUCCUGCUUUUCUAACACUGUCUACUCAAGUGAUCUUCAGCUACAAGACAGUAAACUUGACACUGAUCACAGUUUGGCAGCACCUUGCAAGGCAUUCCAGCUCACUGGCGCUCUGAAGUCACGCUUAUCUCCUCUUCCACUUCCCCUUGCUUUUUCCUAUUUGCAGUCGACAUAUAAAUUAAGGGUUUUGAACUACUGUAGCAAUAUGCUCAUACGCAGAUGCAAUCACCAUUCUAAAUGAUGGCUUUGCUCAUCCCCUGCUCGUCUUUAGAGAAUAAAGCCAGGCACGGUGGGAAUCCUCACAGUGCCAUCCAACCCAAAGUUCCUACUAUUCCGCAGGGGUUUGCUGGUGGUGUUUGUAAAAAUUCACAGAGAACUUUGCCUAAAACCUCCCAGUGGGGAAGGUAGAUGCAUGCAGAUGUCCUGAACCCCUCUCAAUGUCCUCUUGCACGUCACCUCCUCCUCCCCCGCUGCUCCUCUCCACUCGCUGACAUUCCAAAACCUUUCAAACAGUCAGGAACAUGGACAAAAGGAGGUGCCUGGUUACAUGCCCUGGGUAGGAUUCAUGCCUAUGCUGCUCCCCAGGGAGCAGAAUGCUACCCAGGUUGAUGUAUCCUGGUCUCCAGUCAGGAAGGCUUAGUUCAAAAAGCAUCCUUAAUUUUUAUUAUAAUAUGUUUUCACCGAAAAUCCUGUUUCCCUGGUGUUUAGACAAGAUGGGUAUUUUUCAGGAAAUGGGGAGAGACAGGCACACAUGUGUACAGCACAGUGGGUUACAACGCAGACUCUGGAGUCAGGAUGUCUGAGCUUAAAUCCAGGGCUGACCACUUGGACGCGCUAUUUGACACACUUUUCUUAUUUGUUUAAUAGGGAUGAUAUUAGAAGCUGCAUCAUAAGGCUGCUGGGAAGAUCAGCAAUGGUAAUGUAUGCAAAGCACUCAGCCCAGUGCUUGGCACACAGCAAGUGCUAGACAGACAUUUGCUACUGGGGAGCUGACUUCCCAAAGUGACCGAGGAGCCUGGUGGAUGCGAGAGCUCAUGAUGUCCAAAUGGUCUCUCGGAAGUCUGGGGAAGCUGGUGGACCACCCUGUCCCCCGAGUGUGGGAGUUAGGCAGUGCUGUAUUCAGUCCUGCCAGAGGGAUUCUCCAAGGGCCCUGCCUCUCUUCCACAGGCUGUUGCCAGGACCAAAGACAUGCCCAUCACAUGGGUUGGCUUCCAUUGGAGGUAUCUUUGCCUCAGCUGACGACAUGAACCCUUCUCUUCUAGCAACCUGUUUGUGUUGAUCAAAAUGUGUGAUUGCAGGUCCCAAGAAGAAGCUCUAUCUGUGGCAGCAGUUCUCAGUCAGAGGCAAUUUUACUCCCCAGGGGACAAAUGACGGGGUCUGGAGACAUUUUUGAUUGUAUCAAUUGGGGAGUGUGGGCUGCUCCUGGCAUCUAGUGGGCAGAGGCCAGGGAUGCUGUUGAACAUCCUACAAUGCAGAGGGCAGCCCCCCACAACUAAGAAUCAUCCAGCCCAAAUGCCGAUGGUGCCCAGGUUACGUAACUCUGGUCUAUACCUGUGUCUCUUGAAGUUUGGUUCUUGGGCUACCUGCAUCAGAAUAAGUUUGGGCUACGGGUUAGAAAUGCACAUUUUGGAGCUGAACCCCAGACUUACUAAGCGAGACUCUCUGGGGCUCCCUGCUGAUUCUGAAGAAGACCAUGGUUUAAUGGGAUUCCUUCCACGUGUCAUGCUUUGGAAAGUGGCCUUCGUGGGGCCUCCACAGACUCAUGUCCUCCUCUCUUGCUGUUUCGCUGACUCAUUCAGGAGACUGUGGAGGAUUAACACUGGAAGUUGCUUUAGGUACGGACACAUCUCCCCACCAGGUUCCAGGAUGUGCACAGGAGAUCAUCUGGCCACGUCAGCUUCCAUGAAUGGCAAUAGGGCCACCUAGUGAGAUGCACAGUGGGUGGUUCCCAAAGCACAAGAAGGAGCUUCAGAUGCUGUCUAGCUCUAAAAGUGGCAAAUGCCCACACUCCUUGAGGCAGACAGAACAUUCAAGUCACAAUUUUUUUAAAUCCUUGCCAGUACCAGUGCCACCCCCACUAAAACUGUUGAACAAAUAUUUAAAGACUAUCCAUUUGAAAAGGGUCCAGAUUAUUAGCCUCUCGAGGGUACCCACACUUUCCAGUCUCAUUCUACUGAUGAGGGUGGGCAGCGAAGUCCCCAGAUGGAUGUCCGCAGCCCGAGUUUCUCAUGGACUUGUAGCUUCUGAGAGCAGAGCCAGACGGCUGAGCCCUCAAAGUCUUGCUCCACAAACUGUGGUCCUGGAACCCGCAGCAGCAUCCUCCGGGAGCCUGUCAGACACGCAGAUUCCGUGGUUCCACUGCAGCCCUACUGAAUCAGAAUCUGCGUUUUAGCAAAAUCCCCAGUGAUUCACAUACGCAGGAAAGUUUGAGACGCGCUGUUCUCACACAGCGAGUCUCCACCACGCCCGCACAUUGGGAUCACCUGGGCAAUUUUUACAAAGUACUGACGCCUCAUCCCGCUCCCAGAGAUCGUUGUAAUUGUUCCAACGUGUGAUCUGGGCAUCGCAAUUUUGAAAGUCUCCUCAGAUAACUCUAAUGAAAAUCCAAGGUCAAGAACUACUUAGAAAGACGUGACGACAUCCAAUCCGGAGCAUCCUUGAAAUGAAAACAAAUAUUCUUAUGAAAACUGUGUCAACCCAGGGAGUGGUUCCUCGGCAGUUCCCUCCUAAAGGGUCCCAGAGCAUCAUGACUCGGUGAGGUGCAUUCCUGGGAUGUAAUUUUACAAACCUAAGAGCCCUGAUUGGUCGCUGUCUCUCUGUGCUACUUACUCAAGUUCUUGGUGGUUUACUUUCUUUCCUAUGAGUGUUCAAGUUCAAUAAAGCAGUAAAAGGGACGCCAGAAGUCUCUCAUUUUACAGAGGAGGAAACUGAGCCACAGAGAGGACCUGAAAUUUUAGCAUAACCAAGGACCCAAACUCCAACCUUGCAAUCAUGGGCAGUCCCAAUCUGCCGCACACAGCCUGUCCAGGGAAGGGCGCUUAUGAGGAAAGUAUGUUGGAUGAGCGUGUGGUCAAAAGUUCAUCACCAAAAUGUUUAUUAUUAAUAAUGAGGUUAUAAGCUUCAAAGCCAAUGCGGUGCUACUGGCUCCCAUGGAAGCCAUUUUUUCAAUUUGUUCUCAUUUAAUUACGAGUAGGUACAGUAAUUGGAAACAGGCUCUCUCCCAUGGGCAAGGUUGCAGGAAAUGGAAACCUCUAAUACCAUUCUGCCUGGGAAGAGUCAGCGUCCACAUCACGUGCAGCUGGGUCUCUCGCAAGGCCUGCCCCGCGGAGAAGGAAAAGAGCACAUUCUAGGAGAGGUGGGAAAAACAGGCCUCAAAGACAAGAUCACCGAGCCUCAAUUCCUAAUCAGGACCAGCCUGAUCCUUUGGGUGGAGGCAAGCAGAAGCGUCAGGCUCCAUUGGAGCCGAAGGGCAGAUGCUGGUCAGAGGAAAGUAGACAUUGGAAGGAAGAAAAUGGCACACACAAAGUGAACAGAUGUGCCUCUGGAACACUCAGGGAGUGUCAGCAAUGUGAGUUCAGCAGACCCAGGAGCUGCCAACCCAGGCAUCUGCUGCAGGGCGUGUUCACUGCAACAAGACCUCGGCAUCACCACCACCAUUUGCGCCAUCGGCUUUCCAGCAGCAGUGAGUCUGCCACCGUUUGCAGCUGAGUGUAAGCUGAGCAGGUCUCCAGCGGAAACCAUUUAGCAAGUUCAUCGCUCAGUGGUUCCCAAGAUGGAUCACCGGAAGCCCCACGCUCGGGGGCCAGAUUUUCCGCAAAGCCAGCUGCAGGUGGUGUCUCGUGGUUGCCAUCAGCCUUGUUAACCAGACCUGAUCUGUAGAUCAUCGUUUUCCCAUCUGGUGCCCACCAGCUGGGCUGCUGGCAGCUGGGAGACUGAUUUUCCAUUUCUCUCUCUCACUUUCCCUCUCUCCCUUUCUCCAUCUCUGUAUUUUUAUUCCAAGCCAACUUUCUCAUCCAUUAAAAACCUUAUACCCCAUUUUGUCCCCAUUUUCAAGCCCAGCCUCAAAUCUGCAUCAGCGAGGGGUGAAAAUAUUCUUUUUUGUCUAACUAAGGUGGUGGAAUAACUUCAGCUAAGUCAGGCCACCCUCCUUUUUCCCUGAGGUUGCACAGAAGGUUCAGGAAGGCCAAUGCAAUGUUGAGGUUUGGUCAGGGAGGGAGAAGGAAAAGCCAUCCGGAUGUUGACAUCAUCGACCCAUGCAGGUCGAGGAUAAACUGAGGCUAUCCAGGCUGGUUUUUAUCAAGACUCACCGGAAGCCAUUCUUCCCUGAGGUCCUGCUGCCUCCUUGGAAAACAGACACAAGUCCUCUCUGCCCUCUGCUCCCACACACACCUGGCAAUGUUGCUGCUUCUCCAGGUUCAGCCUGCGGUGAGGGAAGCCAAGCCCCUCAUGGGGUCUCCCCACAUCUACACCUUCCCUGCAUCCCCUCCAACCCUCCCCCGUGCCUGCAGCCUGGAGAGUCUUUUUCUCAUCAGAGAUGGGGCGAGAGAGGGUCUUCCUGUCAUGCGUCUUAUUUCCUUCUAAAUAUUUUUCCUCUGAUAUGAGUCCUUUCUGUACCUGAAGGGUCUAGGCUAUUGAAACUUAAAGGCCAGGAAGAGAGUUCCUUUUCCCUCUCCUUUCUUCUAUCACAGGGAGGGGUAUGGAGAAAGACAGCACUCACACUGCUGAGGGAAGGGAGGGCCAAGAAGGCAAAAGAAAAAACAGUCAGCUCAUACUUUUAAAAUAUGAUCCUACCACACACUAAGAGACAGGCUCAGAGACGGGCAGCAUCUUGCCCAAAGAACAGAGCAAAUGCUUGUGGAUGAACUUGAACCAGAAAUUAGCAUCAAGAAUGUGAGAUAUGGGAGAAAAUUCAGACACCUUUUAAUCCAGUGGGUCCGGCUGUGAGUCAGAACCACCUGGUCUCACUCGGGGAAUCUGACUUUAACAAGAGCCCCAGGAAAUUGUUCAGUAGUAAUUCUGUCUCUUUGGAAAACAUUUUCCAGAUGAAGACAGUAAGGCCUAGAGAGACUAUGUUCUCACAGUUGUAAUUCAUAAUCUACCUAUUUCCAAAGAAAUUGAGGCUAUGUAUAACAAGUUCAUGGCCUCAAGACUAGAACAUGAUGCUUGGCUCCCAGCUCAGGGCUCCUUCUUCCAGAAACCAGCUUGUUGCCUAUCUUCCAUCCUGUCCACUCCUGCAAAGUGAAAAGUUUUAUCCAUUUUUUGCCAUUUGUAACCAAUUAAUUCCCCCAAAUUACCCAGAAGACCAUUAGGGUUGGGAGAGAAUUAGAAGCGCCUGUGGCCAGAGAUGGCUGCCAGGAGCAAGAAGUAUGUAAAUACAUAGUCAACAUCCAUCUACCCACCUACGGGGGGUGCAUGUUUGGGGCAAGCAGACUACAGAUAAUCCAAAAAUAUUAAUUUGACUGCUAAUUAAUUACUCGAUGAGUCCUAGGAAACAUUGGACAAUGUCAUUAACUUUUUUAAAUUUUGGUCAAGAAAUAAUAAUUGAAUACUCCUAUACACCCUCCCCCAUGCUCAGACUGGGGAAACAGGCGUGAAACUGUCAUCUAAGGCCCCUAGGCUCAGGGAAUUUACAUUUUUAUGGGAAGACAGGUCAAAACACAAGUAAACAUGAAAAUACAUGAAUUAAUCCUUAUAUGUGGAAAAUGACAUCAAGAAAGCAAGCAAAAGAUUGAGCUAGAAGAGGAGUUGGCAGACUUUUUCUAAAAACGGUCAGACGGUAAAUAUUUUACACUGUGUGGACCAUACCAUCUGAAUCACGACCAAGCAGCCAAAGUCAAUCCGCAAAGGAAUGGGGCUGGCCGUGUUCCAACACACUUUAUUUACAAAACCAGGCUGUGGUCAGUUGUGGCCCAUGUAGUUUGGUGACCCCUGAGCACGAUGCGUGCGGGGUGGAGGGUAGAGACCAGUG